ensembl:lncRNA
GAGAGAGAGGGAGGAAGAGAGUUAGAGAGGCAGAGACAGUGAGGGAGGCGGAGACAGUGAGGGAGGCAGAGACAGGGUGGGAGGCAGAGACAGAGAGGGAGGCAGAGAGAGAGGGAGGCAGAGACAGUGAGGGAGGCAGAGACAGUGAGGGAGGCAGAGUCAGCGAGGGAGGCAGAGACAGUGAGGGAGGCAGAGACAGAGAGGGAGGCAGAGAGAGAGAGCGAGGCAGAGAGAGAGAGCGAGGCAGAGAGAGAGAGAGAGAGGGAGGCAGAGACAGAGAGGGAGGCAGAGAGAGAGGGAGGCAGAGACAGAGAGGGAGGCAGAGACAGAGAGGGAGGCAGAGAGAGAGAGGGAGGCAGAGACAGUGAGGGAGGCAGAGAGAGAGAGGGAGGCAGAGAGAGAGAGGGAGGCAGAGAGAGAGAGCGAGGCAGAGAGAGGAGGAAAGGAAGAGGUGGAGGCAGUGGUGACCAGCUCUCUCCUCUCCUCUGGAAUGUUUGGGGUAGUUGAGGGCUUUGUGCUGUCACAGGAGACAGAGCAUUAUUGCUCUGUGUUUGUGUGUGUGCGUGUGUGUGUCAGUAUGCUAAAGUGGGAGGUACUUUAGGUUCCUGG